CUCAAUCAUAUGAAAAUGAAUCACUUUUUAUAUACUCACAUAUGACAACUUUCUUACUAAAGAGAAAAUAAGGGAAGAAGAGAUAAUAUUGAGGAUCUAUGAUGAUCAGUUUGUUAUCGUUCUUCCUGGAUUUCUUUAGACAGAUACUAUAAUUAAAUUUUCAUUAAUUAACAUCACGAUAAAUAUCAUUUCGUUAUUUACUAUACAUAAUUUCAUUUAUUCUAAUUUCACGCGAUCAUCAUAUCAAAUACUAUCAUUAGUAUUUGCUAUUAUUGUUUUCCACGGUUCUCAGUAUUUGAAUAAUCCAACUCGAAAAAUUAAUAUUAUUUGCUGAUAUCUCGUGCAUGGAGCUUUCCCUUUAUGUCCUUAUUCAUAUGAUAUCAUACUACAUCAAUGAUUAAUGUUUAUAUACGUUGACGUUUUUAUUGCUUACUUCCCGUAUUUAAAAACUUUGAAAUAUGCGACAAAAAUACAACCUGUCUUUACUAAUGAAAGUCUAUGAGUAUUUUGAAAAUAUUUAAAUUAACUCUCGAUUUCGAACUAUUAAUCCAUAAAAUGUACGUGCAUUCAUCUAUCAAACAUCCCGGAUCAUCCUGAUCUAUGAUAUGUUUCAACAAAUGCUUAUUUUCCUUCUUAGAGUAAAAUAAAGAUUUCAACAGAAAUGAUCAAAACAUAAAUCAAUUAAACAAUUCAAUAAUAACAAAUAAUCGAUUGCAUAAAAUCGUUACGAUUCAUCUAUCAAAUGAUUAUUCGGUGUUCUAAUUAAUAUGAUAAUAAGGAAUUUCAAGAUUCAAUUGAGAAAAAUGAUUUAUAUAUUUUUAAUCGAUGCCGGUGCAUACGUGAAAGAUAACUCUUAGAUAUUUCUGCGCAACGUAGUUGCCCCUCCCUUUGCGUUAUCAUUGUGAGGAAUUGGUUGCCUGAAGGCAGUCCUCCGCAUUAUUUAUCAUAUAUUAGGCUUUGAAACUAUCAUUAUCGCAAUUCGAAAAACUUCAUAUUACGCACAACGUAAAAUAGUGAGAAUAGUACAAAAGAAUUAGUAUCAUCGGAAAAGCUUCGUAUUCUAUUUCAUUGCAUGAAUUGUCUUCUUAAUGAAAUUUUGGAAAUGCAUAUAAAUUACAUAUUUCUGAAAAUUAUAUAUGUGUGUAGAAUCAAAAGAAGAACGCAACAUCAAAACAAGUUAAAUCGUAAACACGAAAAACAUGUUUACAUCGUUACGAUAACAAAUACGGUGAAGAAAUCUAUCAAUGCAAUGAAAAAAUAUCAGAAUCAAUAAUAGAAUUCGAAUAGGACUAGGAAGAUAUAUGAUGAUUCUGCAUUACUUUUAUCUUAUCAAGGUAUCUUUUUUAUUGCCCGUACAAAAUAUUACGAUCUUGGUUAUCAAAUUUUUAUCUAUCGGUUCUUUUAUCUUCAAUAAUUAUUUUUCGUCACUGUUACACUUUACUAACAUAAUUUUCGUCAUAAUAGUUUUCUUUGAACACAUGAGUUUCAUGCGAUACGUGUAACGCAUCACGUUACUUCAUUCACGGGAGACAAUUAUAACAUAUCUUUCGGGUUGAGAAUGACUCAAGAACCACGAGUUAGGUCAGCAGAUUGGCUACGUGCAACAACGCAUGGAGCUACCUUUCAAAAAAUUGUUGAACCUUGGCCAGGAUUAACAACAAAAAAAUAUUUUGAGGUAAGUCAACACAAGUUCAUUCUCAACGAUUGCCACAACAACACCAUGAACAAAAAGCACUUUCGAAAGAAAAUUGUUACUUGUGCCGGGAGAACAAGAGAAGAAGUCUCGCAGCUUAUAUACGAGA